GAUGAACGCUGGCGGCGUGCCUAAUACAUGCAAGUCGAGCGAACAGAUGAGGAGCUUGCUCCUCUGACGUUAGCGGCGGACGGGUGAGUAACACGUGGAUAACCUACCUAUAAGACUGGGAUAACUUCGGGAAACCGGAGCUAAUACCGGAUAAUAUAUUGAACCGCAUGGUUCAAUAGUGAAAGACGGUUUUGCUGUCACUUAUAGAUGGCUCCGCGCCGCAUUAGCUAGUUGGUAAGGUAACGGCUUACCAAGGCAACGAUGCAUAGCCGACCUGAGAGGGUGAUCGGCCACACUGGAACUGAGACACGGUCCAGACUCCUAGGGGAGGCAGCAGUAGGGAAUCUUCCGCAAUGGGCGAAAGCCUGACGGAGCAACGCCGCGUGAGUGAUGAAGGUCUUCGGAUCGUAAAACUCUGUUAUUAGGGAAGAACAAAUGUGUAAGUAACUGUGCACAUCUUGACGGUACCUAAUCAGAAAGCCACGGCUAACUACGUG
rnacentral:rRNA from 1 species